rnacentral:lncRNA from 1 species
AUUAAUUCUCAAGAUUGUUAAACUGAACAUUGAUCCUUAAAGGGUUAGUUUACUAUGUAAAUGUGGAAGAACAUAGACUGGCUUUUUUUAUUUUAUUUUAAAAAUGAUUUUUUUUUAAAUAUUUUUAGGAAAGGUCUUUUGGUAGACUUGACAUAAAAUUACAUUUUGUUCGAGAGCUAUAAAAACUAGUCAGGGUAGUCUAACAACAUUAAGUGUAAUACUGAGCAGGUUAACUGUAAAUUCCCCCCAAUUUUUUUUUUUUGUGUGUAAUAAACACAAUAGUCUGAGCAAAAAUGUUUAAAGGGAUCCUAUAGUGCCAGGAAAAGAAAGCAGUGCUCAUUAGACCUCCCAAAGGAAAGCAUUAUUCAGUGCUUUCCUAUGGGGAAAAUCUGGCGCUGGAGGUCCGUAAGAACGUCCAGCAUCGGAUAACUGACCAAAAAUCUGUUUAGAUUCUGGAAGCUGUCUGUUGGCUACAAAGAUUAGACUUAGAGCUGCAAUGCUUAACAUUGCACUGCACAGUGCAAAAGUGUCACAGCCCCCAGACUACUGCAAUAAACCGAAGUGGUCUGGUUGCCUAGUGUCCCCUAAAAUGCUAUGCAUAACUUACACCUAUUUUUCACAGAAUAUGAUGUUGUGUAUCAAGUUUGAGCGCUCUACUCACCUUACUUUGUGUGGUUUAUCACCUAAACAAAGGGGUAGGCAGCCUUCUAGUUGUACUGUGCCAGAACUAGACUUUGAAGUCCCUUGGUGUGUCAAUCCUAUUUUAACUUUUUUUUUUUUUUGUUUGUCAUAUUCUGCUUGUUUAUGGGGGCUACAGUUGCUUUUACAGCAUUGUUUGUGGGCUGUUGUACAGUAUAUGUUCAUGAGUAGUCUGUGUACGUACAAAUUUGGGAUGUUUGUGUAACUGGAUAAUGUAACGUGUUGAGAUGGUUGUGUGCUUGUUUGUGUGUAUGUGGAUUAGUCAGUAGUGUUGAGGAAUGUAAGGAGGGGGGGGGGGAGGAUUCUUCUGAAAGUUAAAAGAUGGGGUUUGAGAGGAUGGGUAGGAAAAGUGCAUCCAAGACCCAAGUUGCAUCAAGUGCUAACAUUCCACAGUUCAAAUAUACUGUAAUGUUACAAAAGCAUGGAACAGUGUUAAAUAAGCCUGGGUUUCAGUAUCUUUAGCUAGGUUUAUUUUUAGGAAAAUAUUGGAUUGGACAAAUAAAACUGUGUAUGUGUGUCUCCAAAGGAAAAGGUUAACUGUGUGCUCUCCUUAAUCCCUAUAUAUAGUUAGACAAAUGGAGGACAUUUAGUUGUCUAAAUCUAGCCUCAGUGUAGGACCUGCUUGAGGGGAGGGGUCUGCCUUGACGUUGGCAGGUGGGCAUUCCCUCCAAUGGCCAUUGGAGUAACUAAAAGACCUACAUUUGUCUAUACAUAGGGUUUAAGGAGAGAGCACAGGUAUCUUCCCCCCCCCUCCCCCCUUUGGUUUUUAUACACAGGCCAGUUGCCUGGGGGUGGCCUGCAGAUAAGUUCGCGUCUAACAGGGACAGCUAAAUAUUUUCUGCCUUCUUUUGAGACACUGUAAAUGUGGCGAUGGACUUAUGUUUGUAGUUAGUAUGAAGUAUUGAUGUAUAAAGCAUGCACCCAGCAUUUUGUGAAGUGUGUGUGUGUAUAUAUAAACUCUUGUAAAACCUGCACUUCAGAAACCUCUGCAAGUCCUCACCUUUUUUUCCCCCUCCAGACUUUUUGUCGCUGUCCAAUGAGACUUCCCAAUGCAGCUCAAUAAAUUAGUCUUUGUGAGGCAGGUGCUCUGGACAAUUGCCUGCUUGUUGAGUUUAGUUCACUGAGCUAACAUAACCAGGAAGUAACUUGAUUGAUAAACAUGGUUACACCCACCUGGCUGUCUAUAAGUCAUUAUUUUUUAAAAUCUGCACUUUAUUAAAAAUGAG